AGUAAAAAGUAGAAUAAUAGAUUUGAAAUAUUUAUUAUAUAGAUUUAAAGAGAUAAUCAUGGAGUAUAAAAUUAUUAAAAAUAAGUUUUAUAAAAAUUUUUAAUAAUAACUAUUAAUAGAAUUAGGUUACAAAUAAAUUAAUAAUAAUUAAUUUUAAAACCUAAAGGUAAACCUUAAUAUUAAUAAUAUAUAUUAUUUAUAUUAUUAAUAUGAUAAUAACUAAGUGAACUGAAACAUCUAAGUAACUUAAGGAGAAUAAAUCAACAGAGAUAUUAUGAGUAUUGGUGAGAGAAAAUAAUAAAGGUCUAAUAAGUAUUAUGUAAUAAAUAUGUAAGAAAAUAGGAUAACAAAUUCUAAGACUAAAUACUAUUAAUAAGUAUAAAAAGUACCGUAAGGGAAAGUAUGAAAAUGAUUAUUUUAUAAGCAAUCAUGAAUAUAAUUUUUAUAUUAAUGAUGUACCUUUUGUAUAAUGGGUCAGCAAGUAAUUAAUAUUAGUAAAACAAUAAAGUUAUAAAAAAAUAGAAAAAAAUAUAUAUAUAUAUAAAAAUAUAUUAAAAUAUUUAAUUAAUAUUAAUUGACCCGAAAGCAAACGAUCUAACUAUGAUAAGAUGGGUAAACGAUCGAACAGGUUGAUGUUGCAAUAUCAUCUGAUUAAUUGUGGUUAGUAGUGAAAGACAAAUCUGGUUUGCAGAUAGCUGGUUUUCUAUGAAAUAUAUGUAAGUAUAGCCUUUAUAAAUAAUAAUUAUUAUAUAAUAUAAUAUUAUAUUAUAUUUAUAUAAAGAAUGGUACAGCAAUUAAUAUAUAUUAGGGAACUAUAAAAGUUUUAUUAAUAAUAUUAAAUCUCGAAAUAUUUAAUUAUAUAUAAUAAAGAGUCAGAUUAUGUGCGAUAAGGUAAAUAAUCUAAAGGGAAACAGCCCAGAUUAAGAUAUAAAGUUCCUAAUAAAUAAUAAGUGAAAUAAAUAUUAAAAUAUUAUAAUAUAAUCAGUUAAUGGGUUUGACAAUAACCAUUUUUUAAUGAACAUGUAACAAUGCACUGAUUUAUAAAAUAAAAUAAUAUUUAAAAUCAAAUAUAUAUAUAUAUAUAUAUUUGUUAAUAGAUAAUAUACGGAUCUUAAUAAUAAGAAUUAUUUAAUUCCUAAAAUGGAAUAUCAUAUUUAUUAAUAAUAAUAAAAAAUAUGAAUACUGAAUAUCUAAAUAUUAUUAUUAAUAAAAAGUAAUAAUAAUAAUAUGGUAAUAGAACAUUUAAUGAUAAUAUAUAUUAGUUAUUAAUUAAUAUAUGUAUUAAUUAAAUAGAGAAUGCUGACAUGAGUAACGAAAAAAAGGUAUAAACCUUUUCACCUAAAACAUAAGGUUUAACUAUAAAAGUACGGCCCCUAAUUAAAUAAUAAGAAUAUAAAUAUAUUUAAGAUGGGAUAAUCUAUAUUAAUAAAAAUUAUCUUAAAAUAUAUAUAUAUAUAUAUAAAAAAAAUAUUAAUAUAUAAUAAAUAUAUAUAUAUAUAUAAUUAUAUUAUAUUUAAUAUAAACUAAUAAAGAUCAGGAAAAAUAUUAAUGUAUACCGUAAUGUAGACCGACUCAGGUAUGUAAGUAGAGAAUAUGAAGGUGAAUUAGAUAAUUAAAGGGAAGGAACUCGGCAAAGAUAGCUCAUAAGUUAGUCAAUAAAGAGUAAUAAGAACAAAGUUGUACAACUGUUUACUAAAAACACCGCACUUUGCAGAAACGAUAAGUUUAAGUAUAAGGUGUGAACUCUGCUCCAUGCUUAAUAUAUAAAUUAAAUUAUUUAACGAUAAUUUAAUUAAAUUUAGGUAAAUAGCAGCCUUAUUAUGAGGGUUAUAAUGUAGCGAAAUUCCUUGGCCUAUAAUUGAGGUCCCGCAUGAAUGACGUAAUGAUACAACAACUGUCUCCCCUUUAAGCUAAGUGAAAUUGAAAUCGUAGUGAAGAUGCUAUGUACCUUCAGCAAGACGGAAAGACCCUAUGCAGCUUUACUGUAAUUAGAUAGAUCGAAUUAUCGUUUAUUAUAUUCAGCAUAUUAAGUAAUCCUAUAUUUUAUAGGUAAUCGUUUAGAUAUUAAUGAGAUACUUAUUAUAAUAUAAUGAUAAUUCUAAUCUUAUAAAUAAAAAAAAAUUAAUAAUAAUAAUAAUUAUUAUUAUUAUUAUUAAUAAUACGCCUUCGGGGCUCGGGGACCGCCUUUGGCGGUCCCCUCACUUAAUAGAUAUAUUAUUCUUAAGUAAUAUAUAAUAAUAUUAUUAUAUAUAUAUAUAAGAGACAAUCUCUAAUUGGUAGUUUUGAUGGGGCGUCAUUAUCAGCAAAAGUAUCUGAAUAAGUCCAUAAAUAGAUAUAUAAAAUUAUUGAAUAAAAAUAAUAUAUAUUAUAUAUAUUAAUUAUAAAUUGAAAUAUAUUUAUAUUUAAUUCUAUAACCAAUAAUUUGGUAAUUAGAAUCCUUUUUAAGGAGUGAAUAUAUUUUAGUAAUAGAUAAAAAUAUGUACAGUAAAAUUGUAAGGAAAACAAUAAUAACUUUCUAUUAAAAAAAAUAUUAUAUUUAUGAUUUAUAAAUAUGGAAAGAAUUAUAUUAAUAUAAUGGUAUAACUGUGCGAUAAUUGUAACACAAACGAGUGAAACAAGUACGUAAGUAUGGCAUAAUGAACAAAUAACACUGAUUGUAAAGGUUAUUGAUAACGAAUAAAAGUUACGCUAGGGAUAAAUUACCCACUUGUCCCAUUAUAUUGAAAAAUAUAAUUAUUUAAUUAAUUUAUUAAUUAAAGUAAAGUAAAUUGGGUGAAUUGCUUAAAUAUCCAUUAUAAAUAAAUAAAUUAUAUGGACAAUAAGCAGCGAAGCUUAUAACAACUUUUAUAUAUAUAUAUAUAUAGUUAUAAGAACGUUCAACGACUAGAUGAUGAGUAAAGUUAACAAUAAUUCAUCCAUGAGUGCCCAAUAUCUUAUAAAUAAGAAUAUAUAUAAUAAUAUAUAUAUUAUAAAAAUUAUAUAAUAUUAAUUUAUAUUUAUUUUUAUAUUUAUUAUAAGAUAAUGAUAUAGUCUAAACAAUUUGGUAACAGAUUGUUAAAUAUGUAAUAUAUUUAAAUAAUAAUAAUAAUUGAACAGGGUAAUAUAACGAAAGAGUAGAUAUUGUAAGUUAUGUUUGCCACCUCGAUGUCGACUCAACAUUUCCUCUUGGUUGUAAAAGCUAAGAAGGGUUUGACUGUUCGUCAAUUAAAAUGUUACGUGAGUUGGGUUAAAUACGAUGUGAAUCAGUAUGGUUCCUAUCUGCUGAAGGAAAUAUUAUCAAAUUAAAUCUCAUUAUUAGUACGCAAGGACCAUAAUGAAUCAACCUAUGGUGUAUCUAUUGAUAAUUAUAUAAUAUAUUAAUAAUAAUUUUAUAAUUAAUAUAUUAUCUAUAUUAGUUUAUAUUUUUAUAUAUUAAUUAUCAUAGUAGAUAAGCUAAGUUGAUAAUAAAUAAAUAUUGAAUACAUAUUAAAUAUGAAGUUGUUUUAAUAAGAUAAUUAAUCUGAUAAUUUUAUACUAAAAUUUAAUAAUUAAUAGGUUUUAUAUAUUAUUUAUAUAUAUAUAUAAUUAUAUUAAAUAUAUAUAUAAUAUUAAUAAAAUAC
rnacentral:rRNA from 1 species